rnacentral:rRNA from 1 species
GCAGUCGACGAUGAACCGCUUUCGGGCGGGGAUUAGUGGCGAACGGGUGAGUAACACGUGGGCAAUCUGCCCUGCACUCUGGGACAAGCCCUGGAAACGGGGUCUAAUACCGGAUAUGACUGUCCAUCGCAUGGUGGAUGGUGUAAAGCUCCGGCGGUGCAGGAUGAGCCCGCGGCCUAUCAGCUUGUUGGUGAGGUAGUGGCUCACCAAGGCGACGACGGGUAGCCGGCCUGAGAGGGCGACCGGCCACACUGGGACUGAGACACGGCCCAGACUCCUACGGGAGGCAGCAGUGGGGAAUAUUGCACAAUGGGCGAAAGCCUGAUGCAGCGACGCCGCGUGAGGGAUGACGGCCUUCGGGUUGUAAACCUCUUUCAGCAGGGAAGAAGCGAAAGUGACGGUACCUGCAGAAGAAGCGCCGGCUAACUACGUGCCAGCAGCCGCGGUAAUACGUAGGGCGCAAGCGUUGUCCGGAAUUAUUGGGCGUAAAGAGCUCGUAGGCGGCUUGUCACGUCGGUUGUGAAAGCCCGGGGCUUAACCCCGGGUCUGCAGUCGAUACGGGCAGGCUAGAGUUCGGUAGGGGAGAUCGGAAUUCCUGGUGUAGCGGUGAAAUGCGCAGAUAUCAGGAGGAACACCGGUGGCGAAGGCGGAUCUCUGGGCCGAUACUGACGCUGAGGAGCGAAAGCGUGGGGAGCGAACAGGAUUAGAUACCCUGGUAGUCCACGCCGUAAACGGUGGGCACUAGGUGUGGGCAACAUUCCACGUUGUCCGUGCCGCAGCUAACGCAUUAAGUGCCCCGCCUGGGGAGUACG